UACGUAGGGGGCAAGCGUUGUCCGGAUUUAUUGGGCGUAAAGAGCGUGUAGGCGGCCAGGUAGGUCUGCUGUGAAAACUCGAGGCUUAACCUCGAGAUGUCGGCGGAAACCAUCUGGCCAGAGUCCGGAAGAGGAGAGUGGAAUUCCUGGUGUAGCGGUGAAAUGCGCAGAUAUCAGGAAGAACACCCGUGGCGAAGGCGGCUCUCUGGGACGGUACUGACGCUGAGACGCGAAAGCGUGGGGAGCGAACAGG
rnacentral:rRNA from 1 species